rnacentral:lncRNA from 1 species
GUGGGUCUGUGAUCAAGUCAAGUUUUUGAGGUCACGUCCGUAUUUCCAAUAGUAUAAGCAAUAGAUCUUAUUGAGGUAUUGAACGAUUGUUAGGUGUUCAUGUCGGUCUUCAAGGAUUCAUCUGACCUUCAUCUCGUUUUAAUGAAUCAUCGACUCGAGUAACAUUUAGAUUUCCUCGAACGAAGUGAUCAACCAUAUUUUGGUGUAUGGAAUGACUAAGAUGUAC